GACGAACGCUGGCGGCGUGCUUAACACAUGCAAGUCGAACGGACGACACAGACGGAAAGACUUCGGUUUGGAAGGCUGUGAAGUUAGUGGCGGACGGGUGAGUAACGCGUGAGUAACCUGCCCUGGAGAGCGGAAUAACAGCGAGAAAUCGUUGCUAAUACUGCAUGAGACCACGAUAUGGCAUCAUAUAGGGGUCAAAGAUUUAUCGCUCUAGGAUGGACUCGCGUCCCAUUAGCUAGUUGGUGAGAUAAGAGCUCACCAAGGCGACGAUGGGUAGCCGAGCUGAGAGGCUGAUCGGCCACACUGGGACUGAGACACGGCCCAGACUCCUACGGGAGGCAGCAGUGGGGAAUAUUGGACAAUGGGGGGAACCCUGAUCCAGCAACGCCGCGUGAAGGAAGAAUGUCUUCGGAUUGUAAACUUCUGUUGUGAGGGGAGAUAAUGACGGUACCUCAUGAGGAAGCCCCGGCUAACUACGUGCCAGCCGCCGCCGUAAAAC
rnacentral:rRNA from 1 species